UUUCCGUAGGUGAACCUGCGGAAGGAUCAUUAAUAAUAUGUGAUUUAUGGCACUUUUUUAAACCCACAUCCACCUUGUGCGCCAUGUCAGGGCUGAUCUUUCUCUCGAGGGCAGCCGCCCCAACGAUCAACUAUCUCUGAACUCUUAGUCUGUAACAUAUUAUGAACAAAACAAUUCAAAAUAAAACUUUAAACAACGGAUCUCUUGGCUCCUCCAUCGAUGAAGAACCCGGCCGAUCGGAAGAGCGCACGACUCAACUCCACGCACGCACAGUCAUCU
rnacentral:misc_RNA from 1 species